rnacentral:rRNA from 1 species
UAUUAGAUCAAAACCAAACAGCUUCGGCUGUAACACUGGUGACUCUGAAUAACUUUGGGCUGAUCGCAUUGCCUUGAGCAGGCGACAUUUCCUUCGAAGGUGUGCCCUAUCAACUGUCGACUGUGAUAUAGACGCUCACAGUGGUUUUGACGGGUAACGGGGAAUAGGGUUCGAUUCCGGAGAGGGAGCCUUAAAAACGGCUACCACAUGCAAGGAAGGCAGCAGGCACGCAAAUUACCCAAUGAACGAAGUUCGAGGUAGUGACGAAAAAUAACAAUACAAGACUCAUCCGAGGCCUUGUAAUUGGAAUGAGUACACUUUAAAACCGUUUCACGAGGAUCUAUUGGAGGGCAAGUCUGGUGCCAGCAGCCGCGGUAAUUCCAGCUCCAAUAGCGUGUAUUAAAGUUGUUGUGGUUAAAAAGCUCGUAGUUGGAUUUCGGCGGGUAUUGGUUGGUUUGAAUUGCUUCAACACUGACUUUUUUACCCGUGUGUUUUGCCAGAAUUUAGCGGGUGAUCUUCGCCGAUUGUCCGUUGGAACUGGUAGGUUUACUUUGAAAAAAUUAGAGUGCUCAAAGCAAGCUUACUGCUUGAAUAGUUGCGCAUGGAAUAAUAGAAUAGGAAGUCGUUUCUAUUUUGUUGGUUUUCGGAAAUCGACUUAAUGAUUAAUAGGGAUAGUCGGGGGCAUUCGUAUUCAAACGACAGAGGUGAAAUUCUUGGACCGUUUGAAGACGAACUAAGGCGAAAGCAUUUGCCAAGAAUGUUAUCAUUAAUCAAGAACGAAAGUUAGAGGUUCGAAGGCGAUUAGAUACCGCCCUAGUUCUAACCAUAAACGAUGCCAGCUAGCGAUCUGCCGGCGUUUAAUUUUCUGACUUGGCAGGGAGCUUCCGGGAAACCAAAGCUUGUGGGUUCCAGGGGAAGUAUGGUUGCAAAGCUGAAACUUAAAGUAAUUGACGGAAGGGCACCACCAGGAGUGGAGCCUGUGGCUUAAUUUGAC